rnacentral:rRNA from 1 species
UACGGAGGAUGCAAGCGUUAUUCGGAAUGAUUGGGCGUAAAGGGUCCGCAGGUGGCAAUGUAAGUCUGCUGUCAAAGAAUGAGGCUUAACCUCAUCAAGGCAGUGGAAACUACAUAGCUAGAGUACGGUCGGGGUAGAAGGAAUUCCUGGUGUAGCGGUGAAAUGCGUAGAGAUCAGGAAGAACACCGGUGGCGAAAGCGUUCUGCUGGACCUGUACUGACACUGAGGGACGAAAGCUAGGGGAGCGAAUGGG